UGUUCCCAGGAGACAGAAGUCUGCAGCCCGAGGGAGACUCUGUUGUCCUCUCCACCGCCAUCCCAGCGCUGGGAGCUGGGAAGGGGGAAUGGCAGCAGCUUUUGGAAGACUUGAAGGAGAAGCAGCAGGAGAUCUUGAAUUUCCAGGAGGAGCAGCUAUAUCCCUCUGGGAGAUAGACUCCAGCUCCCCUGGUUAUACCGUCUGAGAUCUCCAGCCUCACUGAGACAAUGGUUGAAAGAAAACCGGCCACGCGUGUGAUGACGUUAUGGAAAUAUAAACCUCUAAACCAAGAUGAUGCCCUUUGACCCAAAAUCGGGGGGUCCGAACAUCAAAGGGGCAAUGUGGUAGAGUCCCCUCCCUAAGGAAUGUGGUGAGAAAAGACCUCAAGAUAAAGGAAGGCAACCGGCUGUGUGCCUAUGUGACAUUCCUCGUGACCCUGUGACAUGAGACCGCUCAAUCAGACUGUAUGUCUGUACGUAAGUCUAUACGUUACCCAUAUAUGGGAGACAAAGAAGUAGGAAAUGCAUAAAAGGAUACACCACACGGCUCAUUUUUGGGGCACAAACUCUCUGAGCCUGUGCCCGCAGGAAUAAAGUUGUUUCCUGGAAAGAAAAGCCUCAGUGCCACAACUCUGCGAGAAUCCUGCUACAUUCUCUGAUGCAAUGUGGGCCAGGAGCGAAUGGUCAAGAAAGAAUUCUUGAAACAUUUUUGGUGUAAAAAAAAAGGUGGUUUUAUUAUAGCACAGCGACAGGACUCUUGGGCAGGAAGAGCUGCCCCGGGAUUGUCAGGAGUGAUCAGUUACACACUUUUAAGUUGGGGCGACAGUGUAGAGACAAAGGAAGUUUCCAAAAGGAUUUUCAUAUGUUAAGGAGACUUCCAGGAUCCUGGAGGCCUGGCUAUUAUCAAGCUAAGGUUGUUUUUUCCCUCUAACAAGGCAUUAACAUCAAGACAGUUAAGAGUUCCUGGAGGAAUGUCAUGAUCUGCCUGUUUCAAGUAUUUGUCGAUGGGCUGCAAGUUACACGGAAAUUUAAUUCUGUCCACAUUUCCUUUUGCCUUUGUUCUCCGCAUCAUUUCCCCCUGAACAGUUUUGACCCUUAAGUCUGUAAGGUUGCUGAGAGUGGAAGGUCUUACCUUCUGUAACUUCUUCCUGCUGAAUGGGGAACAGAGAUAGGACCUAUGGGUCAACAUUGGUCAGUUGGGGAAGAUGUAUCCACUGAAUCCAAGGUAGAAACAUAAACGAGUUUCCUUGAGUAGAAAGGGUCAUCUGAAGGCUGGAAGUUAUGGCAUGAGGGAGUCUUGGCAACAGGCAGGAAGACGCUGGAAAAGACAACAAAAUGAGGUUAAUAUUAUUAUGAGAAUAAAGCCCAAUAAAAAAGACUUUUGAUAGUU